UUGACUAGCAUCCACUAUUCUUUGUUGACUUAAAAGGGGUCAACAAAGAAUAGUGGUAUUUCGGGAGGA